rnacentral:rRNA from 1 species
GUAUAACUAAGCGGAGGAAAAGAAACUAACCAGGAUUCCCUCAGUAACGGCGAGUGAAGCGGGAAAAGCUCAGACUGAAAAUCUUCGGAAUUGUAGUCUGUAGAAGCUAUACCAGUAGGUUUGGUCGGUUAAAUCCUCUGGAAUGAGGUGCCAGUGAGGGUGAUAGCCCCGUUCGAGCCGACCAAAACUUGCAUACGGUAGGCUUUCAAAGAGUCGAGUUGCUUGGGAUUGCAGCUCUAAGUGGGUGGUAAAUUCCAUCUAAAGCUAAAUAUUGGUGGGAGACCGAUAGCGCACAAGUA